UACGUAGGGGGCUAGCGUUGUCCGGAAUCAUUGGGCGUAAAGGGUGCGUAGGCGGCGCGGUAAGUCGGGUGUGAAAUCUCGGAGCUUAACUCCGAAACUGCAUUCGAUACUGCCGUGCUUGAGGACUGGAGAGGAGACUGGAAUUUACGGUGUAGCGGUGAAAUGCGUAGAUAUCGUAAGGAAGACCAGUGGCGAAGGCGGGGUCUCUGGACAGUUCCUGACGCUGAGGCACGAAGGCCAGGGGAGCAAACGGG
rnacentral:rRNA from 1 species